rnacentral:rRNA from 1 species
GGGCAGCAGUCGAGAAUAUUUCGCAAUGGGCGAAAGCCUGACGAAGCGACACCGCGUGAAGGAAGACGGCCCUCGGGUUGUAAACUUCUUUUGACAGAGAACAAGCCGCAAGGUUGAGCGUAUCUGUAGAAUAAGGCGCUGCUAACUUCGUGCCAGCAGCAGCGGUAAUACGAAGGCGCCAAGUGUUAUCCGGAUUUAUUGGGCGUAAAGAGUUCAAAGGGGGUCAUGUUAGUCCGACGUUAAAGCUCGCAACUCAAUUGCGAAAGCGCGUUGGAAACGGCAUGACUUGAGGAAAUUAGAGGCAAGUAGAACGGCUGGUGUAGGGGUGAAAUCCGUUGAUAUCAGCCGGAAUACCAAAGGCGAAGGCAUCUUGCUGGGAUUUUCCUGACCCUGAAAGAACGAAAGCGUGGGUAGCGAAUGGGAUUAGAUACCCUGGUAGUC